GAUGAACGCUGGCGGCGUGCCUAAUACAUGCAAGUCGAGCGAACAGACGAGGAGCUUGCUCCUCUGACGUUAGCGGCGGACGGGUGAGUAACACGUGGAUAACCUACUUAUAAGACUGGGAUAACUUCGGGAAACCGGAGCUAAUACCGGAUAAUAUAUUGAACCGCAUGGUUCAAUAGUGAAAGAUGGUUUUGCUGUUACUUAUAGAUGGUUCCGCGCCGCAUUAGCUAGUUGGUAAGGUAACGGCUUACCAAGGCGACGGUUCGUAGCCGACCUGAGAGGGUGAUCGGCCACACUGGAACUGAGACACGGUCCAGACGCCUACGGGAGGCAGCAGUAGGGAAUCUUCCGCAAUGGGCGAAAGCUUGACGGAGCAACGCCGCGUGAGUGAUGAAGGUCUUCGGAUCGUAAAACUCUGUUAUUAGGGAAGAACAAAUGUGUAAGUAACUAUGCACGUCUUGACGGUACCUAAUCAGAAAGCCACGGCUAACUACGUG
rnacentral:rRNA from 1 species